AAACCUGCGAGGUGCGGAGGAGGAGUCAGAGACCCCACCGACUUUAGUCACUACCCCUGACUCCGGGCUGGGGAUCCCACCCCCAGCCCCCAGAGCACAGUGAGAGUACGACAGGGAUGUGUGGGUAAGCUCUGCGGUGUGUGCACGAUCUGGUGAAGAAACUGAGGCUCAGAAAGAUAAGAGAGAGAGAGAGCACAAGCACGGGGAGCGGCAGGCAGAGGGAGAAGCAGGCUCCCCGCUGAGCAAGGAGCCUGGUGCGUGACUCGAUCCCAGGACCCCAGGAUCAUGACCUGAGCCAAAGGCAGACGCUUAACUGACUGAGCCACCCAGGCGUCCCCCACCUGAGGUAUUUUUAUGCUUGUUGCUACCUCUCCCAUUCCCUGGGUAUGUUUUCACACUUGCCACCAGAAUUAUUCCAACCUCUAUAAACUGAGAGUAUUUCCGCAUUUGCAGACCCACAGUGGGCUCCAGAAGGAAAGUGUUCCCUGGGUGCUGGCUUCUCUGGUGGGAGAUCUACAGAGAUUAUAAAAGGUUGGGCACCCCCAACUAGGGUCUGCCCAGCACAAGCCACAUAUCCCAACCCAUCUGUUAGCCAUAGGGAGUUAGUGACUCAGUUACCAAAAAUCCAGAAAGGUUGGCCCCUCCUGAAGGAAGGGAAGAUUGGAGCCUUGAUGAGGCACACCCUCCUUGCAACAACCUACUACUUCAGUGGGAAGAUGAAAGGGAAGUUAAGAACUGUUGCAGGCCCAUCAUAUUCACCUGGCCCAUUUUACGACCUGAGAAUCCGAGGAAAUAAGUCUAUCCAAAGACAUAGAGCUAGAUGGUGGCCAGGCAGGUGUAGCCCCGGGUCAUGAAACAUCCAGUCCAGAGUAUACACAAUCAGGAAAGCCUCAGCAAACAAGCCCCAAAAUGUAAUGAUGCAGGAGCAAUAGGGAGGUCAGAGAGGAGUCAGAACUCAGCGAGUCACUUCUCAUCUCAGAACCCCUCUGUCCAUCUGUAAAAGGGCUUGGAGUUCCUGGCACCAAGAUUCACCAUGCAUUUACCAGAGCACCCACUGUGCAGCAGAACCUGCCGUGGGUCUCCUGUAAUGACACACAGAUCAAGGUAAAGGCAGCCCGGGCGGGGGGUAAGUUCCCUGCCUGAAGUCACACAGCAAUUAAGUGACAGAACCAAGAGGGACAGCGCACCAGCCAGCCAGUGCCCGCCCCCUCUCAUGACCACUAGGGGAGCCUCCCGGAUUUUCUUUCCCAUCUUUGCCAGCUUCCUGAUUCUCACAUUCCCAGCCCUGCUCCAGGGGGAACCAUUCCCUUUAAUAACUACAGCAGCUGUGCCCAGAAUAGCACUUGAGCUCCAAGCCAUCUCUACCCCACCCCAUCCUUUAGCAAAGCAGGCUGGGGUGGGACUCUUGGCCCAGUCUCUGGGCCCAUCCACUUGGAAAGCCAGAAGCUCUCCUUCUCCUACUCGUUUCUCCUGCCCCCCUCUGUGAGCAGAGAGAGGGGCAGCACAACCCUACUCCUCACCAGCACUAGGCCGGGUCAUGUCCUUCUUAGCAGACAAUGCUGGGGGUUGGGAAGGUAAGAAAGGGCCAAACAGAGGCAACUCUCACCCUCCAUCCCACCCCAACAUCAGUCCUGGAGACACCCUGAUGCAGCCAAUGACUCACCU